GUCCACGCCGUAAACGAUGGGCAUUAGGUGUGGGAGGUGUCGACUCCUCCCGUGCCGUCGCUAACGCAUUAAAUGCCCCGCCUGGGGAGUACGGCCGCAAGGCUAAAACUCAAAGGAAUUGACGGGGCCCGCACAAGCAGCGGAGCAUGUGGUUUAAUUCGACGCAACGCGAAGAACCUUACCUGGGUUUGACAUGUUGGUGACCGGUGUGGAAACACACCUUUCCUUCGGGACACCAUCACAGGUGGUGCAUGGCUGUCGU
rnacentral:rRNA from 1 species